CCUUCCUGACGCCACUGGUUUCAACGGCGUUCGUGUGGCAGGAAGUCGUCUCCGCGGAUCCCCGGCGGUCAUGUGACCCCCGCCUUAGAUCAUCUCCACGGGUCAAGACAGCGAUACUGAUUGACGUUCUUUCUGGUUUGAAUUGUGCCAAGCAGAG